AUGGGUUCUAGAUUUCCAUCACAUCAGCUGAGCAGUGGCCUUUAUGUUUCUGGCCGACCUGAGCAACCUAAGGAGAAGGCCCCGACCUUUGGAUCCAAUGUGAUGCCAUAUACUGGUGGUGACACCAAGAAAUCUGGAGAGCUUGGGAAGAUGUUUGAGCUCCAUGCUGAAAGAUCCAGAAAAUCUGGUCCUCUAGGCAGUGCGCCUUCGAGAAAUCCUUCAUUUGGUGGUGCUGCCUCCAACUCUGGACCUGUGUCUAAUGCUGGCGGUCGGUCAAACUACUCUGGUUCUCUUUCAUCUUCAGUUCCUGGCGCCGGAGGAUCAGCAAGAGCAAAAUCUAACUCCGGACCACUCAAUAAGCAUGGAGAACCAGUAAAGCGGUCAUCUGGUCCCCAGUCUGGAGGUGUGACCCCAAUGGCUCGCCAGAAUUCCGGCCCUCUCCCUCCAAUGCUUCCUAUGACUGGGCUUAUCACAUCUGGCCCUGUUACUUCUGGACCACUGAAUUCGUCUGGUGCCCCAAGAAGGAAAGUAUCUGGAUCUCUUGAUCCUGCUGCAUCGAUGAAGGCGCGGGCCACAUCGCUUGCUCACAACCAGGCUGUUACUACACUCACCAGUGAAGGUGGUUUCUCAGUUAUGGGAAGCAUUUCAAAGUGGGUAUUCUGGCUAGUGAUCACACUCUUGCUGUUCGGGUUUGCAGUAGGUCUCUUCAUUCUUAUUGCUGUUCACAAUGCGAUUGUGCUGAUAGUUGUUGUUGCAAUGAUUGGUUCUGUUGCUGCACUUGUGUCUUGGAAUGUUUGGCGGGGCAGGAGAGGCGUGCUCAGGUUUGUCAAUAGCUGUCCUGAUACUGAUCUCAGAACUGCAAAGGAUGGAGAGUAUGUGAAGGUUACAGGGGUUGUUACGUGUGGAAAUUUCCCCCUGGAGUCCUCAUUUCAAAGGAUUCCGAGAUGUGUGUACACUUCAACUAGGCUGUAUGAGUAUAGGGGCUGGGAUUCAAAAACUGCAAACCCCAAGCAUCGCCGGUUUACCUGGGGAUUACGGACAGCAGAGCGACAUGCGGUUGAUUUCUACAUUUCAGAUUUCCAGUCUGGGCUUCGAGCAUUGGUGAGAACAGGAAGUGGGGCACGGGUGACACCAUAUGUUGAUGAAUCGGUAGUAAUUGACGUCAAUCCUGAGAACAAGGACAUGUCUCCUGAAUUUCUUAGAUGGCUACGAGAAAGGAACCUCUCAAGUGAUGGUCGGAAAAUGCGCCUAAAAGAAGGAUACAUCAAGGAAGGCAGCACUGUGAGCGUGAUGGGGGUCGUUCAAAAGAAUGAGAGCGUGUUGAUGAUAGUACCUCCAUCAGAGCCCAUCUCAUCUGGUUGCCAGUGGGGGAGUUGUUUCUUCCCAGCGAACCUUGAAGGACUGGUCGUGAGAUGCGAAGAUACUUCAGACAUGGAUGUCAUACCAGUAUAG
rnacentral:rRNA from 1 species